GAUAACUUGUCCACCACAUCAACAACCUCUAUUUUCUCUCUCUCUCUCUCUUCCAUUAUUGGGCUUCCUAAAACCUCUUCUCCACUAAUCCCAUACUUUGUUCUUAUUGUUUUCAAUCUAGGUGGGAUGGAAAUCAGAUAAUUGAAGAAAGAAAAAAAGCAAAGGACCGGUCCUGGAAGGUUUCUUUUUUCUUUUCCUCUGUAAAUUUCCUUCGAUUUCUCAGUAACCAAACAGAGGUAUUAGUCUUCUCUGUCUCAAAGUAAUCUUGACAGGCCGUUGAGUUUCAAGGAUGAGGUUGCACAACAGCUAUGUCUAUGAAGAGCCCAUAAAGGGUACUUCAGAAUCAGCAGAGUGGAUAUUUUUAGCCACUAGCCUUGGCCUAGAGAUGUUGUCGGCUGCUUUUGAUCAGGCUUCCUCCCCAACAAAACCCCACUAUGCACUAUUUGGUGUGCUGUUGGCUACUGCGGCUUUACUUAUUUCCAUCUGGGAGCUAAUUUAUAAUGGUAGAAAGGAAAGAGUUGUGCUAAGGAGAUGGGGAAGGCUCUGGUGGUUUUAUUAUCCACCUCCUCGGAACGCACUUUUCGGUACUCUUCCUGACAUUUAUGGACUAGUUGGCGGCAUCUCGCAGUGCAUUUGCUCUGUAGUUCAGUACAUGUACUACCUUCGGCAUGCCGAUAAUCCUAUCAAAGUAUCCAUUUUGCCUGCCAUAUUUCUUGUGUGCUUAGGUGGUUCAAAACUAAAUAGGAAUCAGCGGAACAUGAACACCAUCGAACAUAAGAUGUUUAGGAAAAGGCAACUCUUGCACAGUGAGUCUAUCUAAAUAUGUGAGUGAAGGAGGUUGUUCCUCAUGAGUGUCUGGAUCUUCCACAUUGGAUGGAGGCACAACCGGGGUUGGAUCAUCAGCCAUGGCUUAUAAAUGUCAUCAAGAAGGAAGGCUCUUGGACUUGGUUGACAGAAGUUUGUAUACUUACCAUACAAAACAGAAGCCUUCACCAUCUUAAAUUUAGCAGUGAAGUGCACCAGUAUAUCCCCUACUCUAAGACCUACAAUGUCUGAAACAAAUGUCUCAGAUCCAUGUCUCAUAACUACGUAUCUAUGUUACCGACAACAUCCGUACACCAUAAUUGUCUCACUCUGGAAAAUGUUGCCUCAUAACCGAUCUAGGGGUAGAUACAUAGUUAUGAGACAUCGAUCUGAUACAUUUGUUUCAGUCAUAUCCCCAUAAUUAGCAGUAGUCUUUCUCAAUUUGUUGCCAUUACUAGUAACCCUUAACAUUCUAAGCGUGCUUUAUUUUGUACAUUUUUUCUCAUGUUCUGUGUUUUUUUUACCUUUCAACCUUGAUAAACCCUUUCUUAAGGCAAAAUGUUGUACCAAAACUGUGAAAUUUGUACCGGGAGGCCACAGAUAAAUGUUUACCGUCCAUCAAAGGCUUUCAAAGAGACAAGGAUGGCUUGGCAGAAGUGCUUCCACCCAAAACUAGUUUCAUGCUCAAUUAUUUCAUCUGAUUGAAGGGCGUUGUUUCUCAGAGUUUCUGUAUCUCCAUAUUGGAGGCACAAGCGGGUUUGGAUCAGCCAUGGAUAUAUACUGCUAGCACAUAUAUUUAAAAUUUCCGGCUUGCAUAUUAAAAUGUUUAGAAUUCGAAGAUCUACUUGUUUUUCCAAGAUAGUCUUUGAUUCUUCCUUGACACAAACUAUGGACUUUUUGUUAAACUGAGUUAUC